GAUCCUGGCUCAGGACGAACGCUGGCGGCGUGCCUAAUACAUGCAAGUAGAACGCACAGGAUGCACCGUAGUUUACUACACCGUAUUCUGUGAGUUGCGAACGGGUGAGUAACGCGUAGGUAACCUGCCUGGUAGCGGGGGAUAACUAUUGGAAACGAUAGCUAAUACCGCAUAAGAACAUUUACUGCAUGGUAGGAUGUUUAAAAGGUUUAAGGUCAAGAAGCAUCACUACCACGAUGGACCGUCGCGUUG
rnacentral:rRNA from 1 species